UAGGGAAUUGUUCGCAAUGGGCGCAAGCCUGACGACGCAACGCCGCGUGGAGGAUGAAGAUCUUCGGGUCGUAAACUCCUUUCGAUUGGGACGAAUUUCCCGGGGGUGAACAAUCCCCGGGGUUGACGGUACCGAGAGAAGAAGCCCCGGCUAACUCCGUGCCAGCAGCCGCGGUAAUACGGGGGGGGCAAGCGUUGUUCGGAAUUACUGGGCGUAAAGGGCUCGUAGGUGGCCAACUAAGUCAGACGUGAAAUCCCUCGGCUUAACCGGGGAACUGCGUCUGAUACUGGAUGGCUUGAGUUUGGGAGAGGGAUGCGGAAUUCCAGGUGUAGCGGUGAAAUGCGUAGAUAUCUGGAGGAACACCGGUGGCGAAGGCGGCAUCCUGGACCAACACUGACACUGAGGAGCGAAAGCCAGGGGAGCAAACGGGAUUAGAUACCCCCGUAGUCC
rnacentral:rRNA from 1 species